CCUACGGGAGGCAGCAGUAGGGAAUAUUGCACAAUGGGGGAAAGCCUGAAGGAGCAACGCCGCGUGGAGGAUGAAGGUUUUCGGAUUGUAAACUCCUUUUGUAAGAGAAGAAAAUGACGGUAACUAAUGAAUAAGGAUCGGCUAACUACGUGCCAGCAGCCGCGGUAAUACGGAGGAUGCGAGCGUUAUCCGGAGUCACUGGGCGUAAAGAGUGGGGAGGGGGGAUAGCAAGUCAGAUGGAAAACCCUGGGGUUUAACCAUAACACUGCAUUUGAAACUGUUAUUCUAGAGUAAGUGAGAGGUAGGUGGAAUUUGUGGUGUAGGGGUGAAAUCCGUAGAGAUUAAGAGGAAUACUCAUUGCGAAGGCGGGCUGCUAGGAC
rnacentral:rRNA from 1 species